GACGAACGCUGGCGGCGUGCCUAAUACAUGCAAGUCGAGCGGAUGGAAGGAAGCUUGCUUCCUAAAGUCAGCGGCGGACGGGUGAGUAACACGUGGGCAACCUGCCCCUAAGAUCGGGAUAACUUCGGGAAACCGGAGCUAAUACCGGAUAUGAUUAUGUCUCACAUGAGACAUAAUGGAAAGACGGUUUCGGCUGUCACUUAGGUACGGGCCCGCGGCGCAUUAGCUAGUUGGUGAGGGAACGGCUCACCAAGGCGACGAUGCGUAGCCGACCUGAGAGGGUGAUCGGCCACACUGGGACUGGGACACGGCCCAGACUCCUACGGGAGGCAGCAGUAGGGAAUCUUCCGCAAUGGACGAAAGUCUGACGGAGCAACGCCGCGUGAGUGAAGAAGGUUUUCGGAUCGUAAAACUCUGUUGUUAGGGAAGAACAAGUACCAUAGUAACUGAUGGUACCUUGACGGUACCUAACCAGAAAGCCACGGCUAACUACGUGCCAGCAGCCGCCGUAAAAC
rnacentral:rRNA from 1 species